ensembl:lincRNA
GAGGACAAUGGUGGGAGAUAUUUUAAAAGUCUGUUUGAAUUGGUCUCUGCAUUUGCUUUCACAGAUUAGUGACCAGGGUGGGGACUUGGAGCACAUGUGUGCAUCGACACUGGAUUUUACAAUUGAUCUACAACACACAGCUCUGGUGUCUUCUGACAGAUCAUUGAUGAGGUGGAAAUUGCUCUUAAUAGCAUGAUCUAGAUGGGACGUGUGUGUGGGAUUGUUUUGCGGAGCGGUAUGGCUGUAGCUCCUGCCCUGGCUGUCACAGCGAGGUUGAAUUCGCCCGCCGCUCACUGGUGUCCGGAGUGGGGAUGGAAGAGAGCUGCCAAGUAACAGCACAGUCCUCGGUUCCCGCUCUCCGGAUCUCCCCAGCUCCACGUAGAUGCGUCUCGAACCCGGGUCUUUCACUGCGUGCUGCCUUCUCACCCGACGUGGGGUCUCUGUGACUGAAGCGCUCCCGGCGCUGAAGAGGCUGGGUGUUUGAGCGGAAUCAAUCCUGAAUCUGAAGCUGCUAGAGAGGCUCCUUUUCCACUCUUCGAAGGAGGGAGCGGAGAGGGACAGUUAAUCUGACUCUGGCAUCUUCAGGAAACCUUUAAUGUGCAAGACUUAGUUCUUCAUCGCUUAAUUAGUUUUAUAAGUUGAAGGAUGUGUUUGAAAUUACUAAUCACUUACAUGUUUUGAAUAAAUAGGUUGACACAAGCCCUUUAGAUUCAAUGCUGCUAUUUCAAAUAAAGGUUUGUAAUGCGUUUUCUUUUG